rnacentral:rRNA from 1 species
UACAGAGACUGCGAGCGUUAUUCGGAUUCACUGGGCGUAAAGGGUGCGCAGGCGGCCGUGUGUGUAAGGUGUGAAAUCCCGGGGCUUAACCCCGGAACUGCGCCUUAAACUACAUGGCUAGAGUAUCGGAGAGGGUAGUGGAAUUCACGGUGUAGCAGUGAAAUGCGUAGAUAUCGUGAGGAACACCAGAGGCGAAGGCGACUACCUGGACGAUUACUGACGCUCAGGCACGAAAGCGUGGGGAGCAAAAGGG